UUGAACGCUGGCGGCAGGCCUCACCCAUGCCAGUCGAGCGGAUGAAGGGAGCUUGCUCCUGGAUUCAGCGGCGGACGGGUGAGUAAUGCCUAGGAAUCUGCCUGGUAGUGGGGGAUAACGUCCGGAAACGGGCGCUAAUACCGCAUACGUCCUGAGGGAGAAAGUGGGGGAUCUUCGGACCUCACGCUAUCAGAUGAGCCUAGGUCGGAUUAGCUAGUUGGUGGGGUAAAGGCCUACCAAGGCGACGAUCCGUAACUGGUCUGAGAGGAUGAUCAGUCACACUGGAACUGAGACACGGCCCAGGCUCCUACGGGAGGCAGCAGUGGGGAAUAUGGGACAAUGGGCGAAAGCCUGAUCCAGCCAUGCCGCGUGUGUGAAGAAGGUCUUCGGAUUGUAAAGCACUUUAAGUUGGGAGGAAGGGCAGUAAGUUAAUACCUUGCUGUUUUGACGUUACCAACAGAAUAAGCACCGGCUAACUUCGUG
rnacentral:rRNA from 1 species